ensembl:lncRNA
CCAUGGGCGGGGUUAGCUGGGCCGUCACACAAAUGCACUGGCACAACAGUACAGCCGUGCCGAGCUCCUGGACAUAAAUCGUGAGUUACAUCGACUGUCAAGCGAGAUAUCCAUUCCUCCCGAGAUCCACAGUUUACCCAGCGAAAGCUCUGCCUCAACGGGCCGGCAGAGGAGACGCUGUGAGCGGAAGCAGAAACGAGGCAUACGGUGUACGAGCUCGGCUAAAGGCUAACCCAUCCAAACCACCGCUUCCUUCAAUCUUCCUCGCCAAUGUCCGCUCAAUAAGAAAUAAACUGGAUGAGAUCAGACUACGACUCACAGCACAGAGGACGUUGACAAGCUGCUGCUGCAUGAUUUUCACGGAGACACAGUUAGACAGCACCACACCAGACGCAGCUAUCCAGCUAGCAGGCCGCACCGUCUACCGGGCCGACAGAACAGCUGACUCGGGUAAGAAGUCCGGUGGCGGUCUGUGUGUAUUCUUAAAUAACUGCUGGUGCACAAACGCAAGCAUUGUCGAAAAGUAUUGCUGCCCCGAACUGGAACUUAUGCUUCUGAAGUGCAGGCCCUUCUACUUACCGAGGGAGUUUGGCAUUGUUUUCAUCUGUGCUGUUUACAGCCCUCCGGACGCUAAUGCUAAACUAGCAUUAGCACAGCUACAUGUCUACAUAAGUAAAAGACUGGCCACACACCCAGACAGCGCCUUCAUUGUAGCAGGAGAUUUUAACCGAGCUAAUCUCAGAUCUGUGCUCCCCACAUUCCAUCCAAACGUGACCUGUGCAACAAGAGGCAGUGUGACACUAGACCAGGUGUACACUAAUGUUAUUAAGGCUUACAAAGUACAGUCUGACUCCCACCUAGGCCUGUCUGACCACCUCUCGCUGUUCCUGUACCCCUCAUACCAACAAAGAAUAAAAGCGACAAGGCCUGCCACCAAGUCCAUAACAGAGUGGAAUGAGGAUGCCAUCCCUCAGCUACAGGACUGUUUUGACAGCACGGACUGGACAAUAUUUAACAGCCUGGAAGCUCCUGUUGACCCAAAAAUGGCACUGGAGGAAUACACAUCUUCAGUUAUGGACUACAUCAACUUCUGCGUGAACAAUGUCACAAGAAGGAGGACUGUGAGAGUGUUCCUCAACCAAAAGCCAUGGAUAUGCAGAGAGGUGCGUACACUAUUGAAGGCCAGAGACGCAGCCUACAGAUCAGGUGAUGCACCAGCGUACAGCGUAGCCAGGGCAGCACUGAGGAGAGGCAUAAAAUCUGCAAAAGCCAAGCACAGGCAACGUGUUGAGCAACUUUUCCACACUCACACCAAUCCGAGACAAGUAUGGGAGGGAAUAAGGGCAAUCUCGGACUACAAAGGGACUGCGUCAUCCCCCCCGUCCAGCUGUGCUACCCUGUCUGAAGAGCUGAAUCAGUUCUAUGCACGGUUCGACAGGGACAACACUGGUCAGCUGCCUCUGCUCCUACCCUCUGACGCUGCUGCACCCACUCUGAGCCCCCACGAGGUCAGACUCUGCUUGAAAACCAUCAACCCCAGGAAAGCGGCAGGACCAGAUGGUGUGGCAGGCCGCGUACUAAGGAAUUGCGGGACCAGCUGACAGAGGUUUUUACAGACAUUUUUUAACCGCUCUCUAGCCCUUUCACAUGUCCCCCCAUGUUUCAAAGCAUCAACCAUCAUACCUGUGCCAAAAAAGACUGCGGUCACAUGCCUGAACGACUAUAGGUCAGUGGCUCUCACCCCCAUACCUGCUAAAUGUUUGGAAAGGUU